rnacentral:tRNA from 1 species
ACCUGGUUAGCUCAGUUGAUAGAGCGCUCAACUGGAAAUGUAGAGGUGCCCGGUUCCAUACCAGGACCAGGCG